GCCUGAGUGGCUCAGUCAGUUAAGCAUCAGACUUCAGCUCAGGACAUGAUCUCACAGUUUGUGGGUUCAAGCCCCACAUUGGGCU
rnacentral:tRNA from 1 species